AUUGAACGCUGGCGGCAGGCCUAACACAUGCAAGUCGAGCGGAUGAAGGGAGCUUGCUCCUGGAUUCAGCGGCGGACGGGUGAGUAAUGCCUAGGAAUCUGCCUGGUAGUGGGGGAUAACGUCCGGAAACGGGCGCUAAUACCGCAUACGUCCUGAGGGAGAAAGUGGGGGAUCUUCGGACCUCACGCUAUCAGAUGAGCCUAGGUCGGAUUAGCUAGUUGGUGGGGUAAAGGCCUACCAAGGCGACGAUCCGUAACUGGUCUGAGAGGAUGAUCAGUCACCCUGGAACUGGAACCCGGCCCAGCCCCCCACGGGGGGCCGCGGUGGGAAAUUUUGGACAAGGGGCGAAACCCUGAUCCAGCCAUGCCGCGUGGGUGAAGAAGGUCUUCGGUUUGUAAAGCCCUUUAAGUUGGGAGGAAGGGAAGUAAGUUAAUACCUUGUUUUUUUGCCGUUCCCAACAGAAUAAGCCCCGGCUAACUUCGU
rnacentral:rRNA from 1 species